UCCAUGAAGUCGGAAUCGCUAGUAAUCGUGGAUCAGAAUGCCACGGUGAAUACGUUCCCGGGCCUUGUACACACCGCCCGUCACACCAUGGGAGCGGGUUGCAAAAGAAGUAGGUAGCUUAACCUUCGGGAGGGCGCUUACCACUUUGUGAUUCAUGACUGGGGUGAAGUCGUAACAAGGUAACCGUAGGGGAACCUGCGGUUGGAUCACCUCCUUACCUUAAAGAAGC
rnacentral:rRNA from 1 species